rnacentral:rRNA from 1 species
CCUACGGGGGGCUGCAGUGGGGAAUAUUGGACAAUGGGGGCAACCCUGAUCCAGCCAUGCCGCGUGUGUGAAGAAGGCCCUCGGGUUGUAAAGCACUUUCAGUGAGGAAGAACGCCUGGUGGUUAAUACCCAUCAGGAAAGACAUCACUCACAGAAGAAGCACCGGCUAACUCCGUGCCAGCAGCCGCGGUAAUACGGAGGGUGCGAGCGUUAAUCGGAAUUACUGGGCGUAAAGCGCGCGUAGGUGGCUUGAUAAGCCGGUUGUGAAAGCCCCGGGCUCAACCUAGGAACGGCAUCCGGAACUGUCAAGCUAGAGUGCAGGAGAGGAAGGUAGAAUUCCCGGUGUAGCGGUGAAAUGCGUAGAGAUCGGGAGGAAUACCAGUGGCGAAGGCGGCCUUCUGGACUGACACUGACACUGAGGUGCGAAAGCGUGGGUAGCAAACAGGAUUAGAUACCCGAGUAGUC